AACGAACGCUGGCGGCAGGCCUAACACAUGCAAGUCGAGCGGACCCUUCGGGGUUAGCGGCGGACGGGUGAGUAACGCGUGGGAACGUGCCCUUUGCUUCGGAAUAGCCCUGGGAAACUGGGAGUAAUACCGGAUACGCCCUUUUGGGGAAAGAUUUAUCGGCGAAGGAUCGGCCCGCGUUGGAUUAGGUAGUUGGUGGGGUAAUGGCCUACCAAGCCGACGAUCCAUAGCUGGUUUGAGAGGAUGAUCAGCCACACUGGGACUGAGACACGGCCCAGACUCCUACGGGAGGCAGCAGUGGGGAAUCUUAGACAAUGGGGGAGACCCUGAUCGAGCCAUGCCGCGUGAGCGAUGAAGGCCUUAGGGUUGUAAAGCUCUUUCACCGGGGAAGAUAAUGACGGUACCCGGAGAAGAAGCCCCGGCUAACUCCGUG
rnacentral:rRNA from 1 species